rnacentral:lncRNA from 1 species
UCAAACCCAAAUUAACCCCCUAACCUUGAUCGCCGGAAACAACCCACCCUUAACCCAAAUCGAAAGCCUUAACCGAAAAAUCAAACAAACAAAGAUAAUUGGUUCUACCUUGUAGAUCGGAACGACCGGAUCAAACCCGGUGGCGGUCGUGGUGUCGGUGGGCAGAGGCGGCGGCUAACAAACUCGCACUAAUGGUGGUGGUUUUGGUCUCGAACCGGAUCGGAAAUGACGGCGGAGGAGAUAAUGCUGCAGUGGCCACAACGGCCCGGUUGUUCUAAUUCGUAACUAUAGCCGCGGAGGUUGUUAGUGACGACGGCAACGAUUUGUUGCCGUGCGGUUUCCGACCCCUAGGUCGUGGGUGCGAAUAUCAUUAGCGGGAGUGACGACUUUGUGUCACAAAUCGGUGGCAUUGCACGACGAAAACGGUAACUGUGGCAUGGUGAGUGGUUGCGGAAAGGAAUCCGGAGAAGCCUUACGAAGAUGAAGAAAAAAAAUUAGGGCCUGCAACCAUUUAUUCUCAAGGUCUUCACUUCAGCCCUCAUAUUACAAGAGCUUUACACUAUGAAUCCUAAGGUUUAAAUUGGAGUAAUAAAGACCCUAAAACUUAAAAAUUAAUUCAAUCUAACAUAUUCUUAUUAUAUAAGUAUAAAAAUUACACUUAUCAUUUACUAAUCUAUUUAUUUGAAUAAAAUGCAAUACUUAAAAUAAAAGAUCCAGUUAAUUGUCACUAAUGGCUUACUCAAUUAUACAACGUAUUAAAUUUGUUUUCAAAAUUUUGGUAUGUUACAUAAUUAUUUGUUGAUUUCUGGCAAGGAAACACAUAGAACUAGAGUCAAACGCUCAUGUGUUGGUUAGAAUAUUACCAUUAGCAGACUUAAAUAUCAUAAAUAUCUUACUACUUAUCUUGGCCAGCUGUUGAAUUAUGGAUAGUCUCGAUGCUCAUGCCUAGUUUAAUGGCAUAAACCUGCAGUGAGACUUUUCUUUGAAGAAACUUAUAGCUGGAAGUAGUAGUUGUACACUAUCUCUGUAUCUUAAAAGUAUCCUCCUUUCAGGGUUAGUGGCGGUGAGAUCAACAACAUCUAAUUUUUCAGUUUCAUGCAUUCCUUUUCCUGUACAUAAGUUGCUAAUCAACACACUCAUUUUCCUUUGGUACUCUUGAGUGUUAUAGUUGAUUCUUAAGGAAACUUAUGGUAUUAGUGGAAAAGUUAUAUGUAAUGCACCGGAAAAGUGUACUGAUUUCCAUGUGUAAACCUUUAAAUUAUGGGUCAUGGUAUUGUACAUCAUGAUGUAUUCACAUAUGCCACAAACUUUCUAGUAAGAAUCUAGAGUAAUGCAUGCGUCUUAUGAG